rnacentral:lncRNA from 1 species
UUUAAACCCAAAUUAUUAUGGAUUUGUGAUGGAAUACAUUCUUGGUUUGGCAAUUGCUGAAGGUUCUGCUCAGUGGACAGGUUCAGUUCCACUCUGCAGUACUUUUGGUAUGUGUCUUCGAUUAUAACCCCAAGUUGAUGAAAAUCUUGUGAGUGGAUUUUGUAGAUGAAAGCUUAAAGAAAUCUGACACAUCUACCUGUAUAUCUAUCUAUCUGUCUAUCUACCUGUGCAUCUAUCUGUCUGUCUGUUUAUCUCUAUCAAUCUGUUUCUUUCUCACAAUCUACCUGUGUAUGUGCAUGUGUCUGUGUGUUUAUUUACCUCAACACUCUACAAAAAGUUGUUACAAGUAAUGUUGUUGUUGUUGUUGUUGGUGGUGGUGUUGUCACUUCAGUCAGCAGAUCAUCCUCUAACCUUCAAAGAUGUGAAAUAAGAAAUCCCUUACUUCGAAAACAAGUACGAUGUUGGCAUCAGAAAGGUUGUCUGGCCAUAAAACAAGACUUCUAUGAUAUAUUUAUCUAAUUUGUGCAAAACACUGGCAUAAAACAAAGCAAUGACAAGAUUUCAUGCAAAGGAAAUACCAUUUCUUGUUCUGCAUUUUCUGGCAGAUGACUCCAACUAUUCAGACCCAAAUUCACAGCCAAGAAAAGGUAGAUUGGUUUACAGACCAAAACGAUUUGGAAAGAUAGAAAUGAUAUUUGAAUGUUUACACCCUAUAAUAUGGUGACUUGUAUGCUGGAACUUGUAUGCUAGAUAAAAAAUAAGAAACAUUAGCAUCCCGAAUGAGAAACUUAGUUUUUAAUGUGUCAUAAAAGAACAAAUGGUAAUAAUUAAUUACUGUCUCUUAUUCAAGAAUUAUUUGAAAUGUUUGUUUAGUAAUUGUUUGAUGUUCUUGACAAUAUUAAAAAAAAUGAAAAAGAGAAGUUAACCCCAAAUAUCAAUAAAAAUAUUCAAAGACACAAGGUUCUGAGGUUAAGAAGCUUGCUUCCCAACCACAUGGUUCUGGGUUCAUUCCCACUGCAUAGCACCUUUGGCAAGAGUCUACUAAUAUAUCCCAAGCCAACCAAAGCCUUGUGAGUGGAUCUGCUUAACUGUGUAGAAGCUUGUUGUUUCUAUAUUUUAUAUAUUGGGUCAUCCCAUAAAUAAUGUGGGGUUUUUUCAAUUGUCAGAGGGGGACAGGAUAAAUUGCCUGCAUCAACUUGCCAUAAAAGCAGGUAAUAAUUUUACCUUGUCCUUAUUCUUAGUGCAAGUUUUGAAGAGUGCAGUUCGAUUUUAACAGUUAUUUUUUCAAAGCUAUAAUGGAGAUGACAAAGGAGCAUAUUUGGCAUAUUUUGCCUUAUGAGUUCAAUAAAGGCACAACACAAUGGAAAAUGCAAGGAAUAUUAAUACAGUAUAUGGGGAUUGGUCAAUAAGUGUAGGCCGGUGUCAAUGGUGGUUCCAGAAAUUCUGAGCUGAAAACUGCAGCCUAGAAGACAAGUCUUGUCCUGGAAGAUCUGUCGAGCUCAACGAGGACGUCCUGCAAACCCUGGUGGAACAAUCCCCUUGUAACUGUUGAGAAACUAGCACAAAAGCUUGGAUUUGGUCAUUCAACCAUUCAUCGACGACUGUGUGCCAUUGGAAAAAUCAGCAAAUUGGCUCAGUGGGUUCCUCACAAACUUUCCGGGUCUAAUUGCUUGCAGAGAGGGAAUAUGGGCCCUUCUUUGCUGUCAUGUCUCAUGAAUGAACCUUUUUUGGGCAGAAUAGUUAUUGGUGAUGAGAAAUGGGUUCUCUAUAAAAUGUCAAGUGCCGAAGACAGUGGGUAGGGAAAGGAGAAAUACUGCCACCCCAGGCUAAAGAAAGUCUUCACCCACAUAAGGCAUUAUAUCUGUUUGGUGGGAUAUGGAAGGUUUAGUCCACCAUGAAAUUUUAAACCCAAACCACACAAUAACAAAGGAGAUCUACUGUGAGCAGCUUAAGUCAGUGCUAGAAGAAAAAUGACCAUCUUUGGUUUCAAGAUGAAAGGUGUUCUUCCAUCAGGAUAAUGCUCGGCCACAUACCGUGAGGAUGACAUUCCAAACACUGGAGCAGUUUGAUUGGGAAACAAUGCUCCACCCACCAUAUUUGCCGGACAUUGCCCCAUCUGGUUAUCAUUUAUUCCACAAUCUUUUUGGAUGGAAAAAAUAUGACUUCUGUAGAUGAGGUCAGAACAGUUCUGGAAGAGAAUUUUUCAUCACGGACAAAUGAAUUUUGGAAGAGGAGCCUUGCAAGUCUACCAGAUAGAUGGAAGAGCAUUGUAGAAAAUGAAGGAGAGUAUAUUUUAGAUUAAAAAAGAACUUUGUCUUAAUUUUGAAAAAUAAGAGAAGUAUAAAAAACCACAUUGUUUACGGAAUGAUCCAAUACGUGUGUGUGUGUGUGUGUGUGUGUGUGUGUGCCUUUGUGUUUAUCCCCUACCACUGCUUGACAAACGGUUCAUUUGUUCACGUCAGCAAAAGGGACAGAAUAAGUACUGGGGUCAAUUCAUUUGAUUAAAACUCCUGAAGGUGGCGCCCCAGCAUGGCCACAGUCCAGUGACUAAAACAAAUGGAAGAUGAAAGAUUAAAGGCAAAGUAUUUUAAAAGAAAUAUGGUAACAGAAGUCUGUUCAGCCUGGCAGAUGCUGUGCAUUUAAUAAGGGAAUCCACAACAAGAGCGUUCUUUGAAUUCUGAGCAAACAUUGAAAUAUGUAGAACAGAAGAUUUGUAGUUGGAAUUACUUGGGCCAGGGGCUAAAUGAAGAGGAUUUGGAUGACUUAGUUGAAGGACAUGGAAGAGAACUGUCCAUUGACAAACCUGAGGGAACUUCAUGAAGGAAGUGGCGAAACCAUUGCAAUAUUGACAGGGCUCUUAGAAGGAGCAGAAUCAAUAAGGGGCCAAAUCAAAUCUGAAGGUUUGUCAUCUUUGUCAUGGAUUCACAGACAAUAUGAGAAUGCAUCAUCCUAUCUUAUGAAGGUUUUGAGUCAGGGGGUAACUAAAUGUCAAUUUCAAAUUAUGGCACAAGGCCAGCACUUUCGGAGGAGGGCUGGUACUUGUUUUAUCGACCCUGAAUGGGAUGAAAGGUAAAGUCGACCUCAGCAGAAUUUGGACUCAAAACACGAAGACAAGCAUUUUGUCCAGUGUGCCAACGAUUCUGUCAGUUCAUUGCAUUUCAUCAGGAGAUGAAAUGUUGCAAUAAUUUUGGAGUGUCCAGAAGAAUUGGCUGCAGCCAUUUGUCCUGGAUAAAAUGGUCAACAACUACAAUCUUGUCUCAUUGCUUAUGAUUCUUACAAAAUAUUGAUGUUUCUUCAUUUCCUGGCUCUUUGGCCCUUUGAAAAAGAAAGUAUAUAUUGUGUCAGAAAUAAGUGUUCUGAUCAAAAAAAGAAGUGAAAACGUUUUUCUUUUGGAGAAUAAAUAAAUAAAAUUAUCAAUAAAAGCAAUUUUUAUGAGUGAAAAGUAAGUUUUGUGAAAUUUUUUUGACAAUAAAAGCAAGAAUUUGGUUUCCAAUCGUUGUUUCCAAUCCCUCAGUAUUUAUUAUAAAUCACACACAGAUUUUAAUGUCUUCCAAUAAUUAGUUAAAAUUCAUCAUAAUUAGUCAAACGAGUCAUGGAGUCAAUGAAAUAAGAGUCUGAGGUUGAUGUCUAUCAAUAUAUUUCUUCUUUUUCGUACAAUUCCACAGAGAUUCAGUUUAAUAUUAAUUAACACUUAAAAAGUUAAUUACCUCCAUGUAUGCUGUGUCACACAUCCAAUCAUUCAUGCAAUUAAUGAAUUUUAUUGUACAGAUGUAACAGCAACCUUCAGGACACUGGUCAUUCACACUAAUAAUUAAUGAACAAGAAAUCCAAAUUCCCGUCGCUGCCCAAUUAGUUUACUGGGGCAGCCCUGUUUCACGAUAUCUUCCAGAGUUCAGUAUUAAUAAACUUGUAUCAUUUAUUCUAGGAUUUCAUUUAAUUAUUUAAUUAAAUUUGAUAUUUGUUUAAUUUAGAGGUGACUAAUCCUGGUUUGGAAAAAUCAGUCAUCCAGAUGGCUUUCGAGUCAAAGGUUCUGAAAAGGUGAUGUUGUACCUGUAGUUUUCCCUUGGCGAAAUAUGUUAGGAAUGGCAGUUUCAUGUAAUAAACACUCUUAGCACCCCCGUUUCACACAGGUGUGACUCCUCAUGGAACUGGUCCAAUAAGCAUUCAAAUCUUCACCACAACCAGAACAAAAAACAUAUGAAGAAGGUUGUAAUCUUGGCUGAAAAUUAAUUGUUGUCAACAUCAUUAUUCAAUGUCUGUUUUCCAUGGAUUGGACGGUUUGGUGGGGGUGGGACACCAGGCUCUAGUGCCUGUUUCAACUUGGUUUCUAUGGCUGGAUGCCCUUCCUAACAUGCCAACCACUUGACAGAGUGUCCGCUGGGUGCAUUUUAUGUGACACCAGCACCAACAGUGGGUAGCAGUGACGGGACGAAGGCUUUGUGUUAGCUGAUGAAAGAUUAGACAUAGAGAAACAGGGGUAGGUGUCUUACUGUAGAGUAGAUACAUGGAUUAAGAGAGUAAGGUAAUGAGAGCAUGUGAGGCAGGGAGUGAGAUGUCUUACAUAUUUGUUGUUAAUCUGUCUUUCUGCUAAUAACAAUAACAUUUGAUUGUCUUUUAAGGUGGCCAAGGGCACUGGACAUUUUUUCCUGCUCUCUCCAGGAUUUUGGGGCUAAAUUGGUUGAUUUUUAUAUCCUUUUUUUUCAGGAACAGCUUCAAGUAUUGGUGCACAGUCAACAGUAUUGGAGAGCAUAAAGAUAUUAAAGUUGUCAUUGAGAAAAAGUCAGCUGAACAUGGAGGACUGGAAGCUGUCAGAACAUUGGGGAAGAGUUGUCUGUACCAUGAUGAUUCACACCAGAUAUCCAAAUGCCAACAUCAUCACUGCUGCUCAAUGCUCCAUGAACACUGUAAAGGCUGAAAGACAAGACAUGGACAGCUGCAGUGGAGACUAGGAAGCCAUGACCAGCAAAAAGGUGAUGGUCGUUGGGUGUAAUUCUGGUGAGGGUGUUGUUAUGUUGCCUAAUUCUUUGAACAGGACCUUAGGUUCAACUCGGAUGGCCUUGUGAAGCUGCUGAAAGGUCAUAUGUGUGGCAGCAGGAUUUGGCUCCUUGCCAUACCUUUGGAAAGAAUAAGAAGUAGUUGUUGGGGGAACUUCUACAGCUUUGCCAGCCCCAAUUUCUGGCCUCCUAAUUCCCCUGAUUCAAAUCCCAUGGAUUACUAUGCAUGGGGCACAGUUGAGAAAGGCACCAACUGCUCUGAUCGCAACUACAAGACUGAACUGGUGGCCAAGAUCAAAGAGAUGUUUGAAGAUCUUCUCAGGGACACAGUGAUGAACGCAUGUGCCUGGUUCUGGAGCCGUUUUGAGGUUGAGGUGGAAGGUAGGGACAGCUACUUUGAGUAAACUGUUCUCUCUCUCAGCCAUAACCUAGACCAGUGCUUCUCAAACUAUCUGAUGUGGUGUACCAGCAGUUUUUUUUCCCUAAUGUGCCAGGGACCGGUAAUAU